UACGGAGGAUGCAAGCGUUAUCCGGAAUUAUUGGGCGUAAAGCGUCCGCAGGUGGCGAUUCAAGUCUGCGGUUAAAGACUGGGGCUUAACCCUGGAAAGGCCGUGGAAACUGAAACGCUAGAGUGCAGUAGGGGUAGAGGGAAUUCCCGGUGUAGCGGUGAAAUGCGUAGAGCUCGGGAAGAACAUCGGUGGCGAAAGCGCUCUGCUGGACUGCAACUGACACUCAGGGACGAAAGCUAGGGGAGCGAAUGGG
rnacentral:rRNA from 1 species